rnacentral:rRNA from 1 species
UGGGGAAUUUUCCGCAAUGGGCGAAAGCCUGACGGAGCAAUACCGCGUGAGGGAGGAAGGCUUUUGGGUUGUAAACCUCUUUUCUUAGGGAAGAAGAACUGACGGUACCUAAGGAAUCAGCAUCGGCUAACUCCGUGCCAGCAGCCGCGGUAAUACGGAGGAUGCAAGCGUUAUCCGGAAUUAUUGGGCGUAAAGCGUCCGCAGGUGGCUUUUCAAGUCUGCUGUCAAAGACCAGAGCUCAACUCUGGGCAGGCGGUGGAAACUGGGAAGCUAGAGUACGGUAGGGGUAGAGGGAAUUCCCAGUGUAGCGGUGAAAUGCGUAGAGAUUGGGAAGAACACCAGUGGCGAAGGCGGCUCACUGGCUCGGUACUGACGCUGAGGUGCGAAAGCGUGGGGAGCAAACAGGAUUAGAUACCCGCGUAGUCC